UACGUAGGGUGCAAGCGUUAAUCGGAAUUACUGGGCGUAAAGCGUGCGCAGGCGGUUGGGCAAGACAGAUGUGAAAUCCCCGGGCUUAACCGGGGAACUGCAUCUGAUACUGGAUGGCUUGAGGUUGGGAGAGGGAUGCGGAAUUCCAGGUGUAGCGGUGAAAUGCGUAGAUAUCUGGAGGAACACCGGUGGCGAAGGCGGCAUCCUGGACCAAUUCUGACGCUGAGUGAGCGAAAGCCAGGGGAGCAAACGGG
rnacentral:rRNA from 1 species